rnacentral:rRNA from 1 species
AAUCUUAGGCAUACCUAGUACGGCGAGUGAGCGGGAAGAGCUCAAAUUUGAAAUCUGGCAGUCUUCGAUUGUCCGAGUUGUAAUCUAUAGAGGCGUUUUCCGUGCCGGACCGUGUCCAAGUCUCCUGGAAAGGAGUAUCAAAGAGGGUGAUAAUCCCGUACUUAACACGACCACCGGUGCUCUGUGAUACGUCUUCUACGAGUCGAGUUGUUUGGGAAUGCAGCUCAAAAUGGGUGGUGAAUUCCAUCUAAAGCUAAAUAUUGGCGAGAGACCGAUAGCGAACAAGUACCGUGAGGGAAAGAUGAAAAGCACUUUGGAAAGAGAGUUAAACAGUACGUGAAAUUGUUGAAAGGGAAACGAUUGAAGUCAGUCGUGUUCUUUGGAUUCAGCCAGUUCUGCUGGUCUACUUCCUUGGAACGGGUCAACAUCAGUUUUGUCCGGUGGAUAAAGGUAGUAGGAAUGUGACUUCUCCGGAAGUGUUAUAGCCUAUUAUCACAUACACUGGGUGAGACUGAGGACUGCAGCUCGCCUUUAUGGCCGGCCUUCGGGCACGUUCGAGCUUAGGAUGUUGACAUAAUGGCUUUAAACGACCCGUCUUAA